GAAUUUUUCGCACUAUGUAACACAUUGUAAACAAGUUCAUGAUCAAAUGAAGGAACAAUAUUUCUAAUGGAAUUCUGUAAACGUGUAGUCCAGGCACGAGUAGACAUCAUUCUGCAAAUGAGAUCUUCUAGUUUUUCUUGGGGUUUAGGACUGUUACCUUUUGGAAUUCGUUCAUGAUUGUUGAGAGAUUCGGUGUUGUAGAAGAAGAUUGUUGAUCUUAGGCAUAAUGGUGUAGCCGAAAUUGUGAGGAGCUUCUUCGGUUUGAAAAUGGCUGAUCUUGAUGCACACAAAGAAGCCAUUUUUUAUCCAAUUUGGAGUUUGUGCGAUCUGUAAAAUGGAGGAGAAAUUAAACUUUGGGUAUCAUAUAGAGAGGCUGCAGGGUUUAGGGUUUUCGAAUUCUUCCAAGCUUUUUUUCUUUUCU
rnacentral:misc_RNA from 1 species